ensembl:lncRNA
GUAAGUAGUGAGUAGGGAGUAAUGAGUAGUGAGUAGUAAGUAGUGAGUAGUAAGUAAUGAGUAGUGAGUAGGGAGUAGUGAGUAGUAAGUAGUGAGUAGGGAGUAGUGAGUAGUAAGUAGUGAGUAGUGAGUAGUAAGUAGUGAGUAGUGAGUAAUGAGUAGUGAGUAAUGAGUAGUGAGUAGUAAGUAUGGAGUAGUGAGUAGGGAGUAGUGAGUAAGGGAUAGGGAGUAGUAAGUAAUGAGUAGUAAGUAAUGAGUAGUGAGUAGUAAGUAGUGAGUAGUAAGUAAUGAGUAGUGAGUAGUGAGUAGUAAGUAAUGAGUAGUGAGUAAUGAGUAGUG